rnacentral:rRNA from 1 species
GAUGAACGCUGGCGGCGUGCCUAAUACAUGCAAGUCGAGCGAACGGACGAGAAGCUUGCUUCUCUGAUGUUAGCGGCGGACGGGUGAGUAACACGUGGAUAACUUACCUAUAAGACUGGGAUAACUUCGGGAAACCGGAGCUAAUACCGGAUAAUAUUUUGAACCGCAUGGUUCAAAAGUGAAAGACGGUCUUGCUGUCACUUACAGAUGGAUCCGAGCUGCAUUAGCUAGUUGGUAAGGUAACGGCUUACCAAGGCAACGAUGCAUAGCCGACCUGAGAGGGUGAUCGGCCACACUGGAACUGAGACACGGUCCAGACUCCUACGGGAGGCAGCAGUAGGGAAUCUUCCGCAAUGGGCGAAAGCCUGACGGAGCAACGCCGCGUGAGUGAUGAAGGUCUUCGGAUCGUAAAACUCUGUUAUUAGGGAAGAACAUAUGUGUAAGUAACUGUGCACAUCUUGACGGUACCUAAUCAGAAAGCCACGGCUAACUACGUG